UACGUAGGUGGCAAGCGUUGUCCGGAAUUAUUGGGCGUAAAGCGCGCGCAGGUGGUUUCUUAAGUCUGAUGUGAAAGCCCACGGCUCAACCGUGGAGGGUCAUUGGAAACUGGGGAACUUGAGUGCAGGAGAGAAGAGUGGAAUUCCACGUGUAGCGGUGAAAUGCGUAGAGAUGUGGAGGAACACCAGUGGCGAAGGCGACUCUUUGGCCUGUAACUGACACUGAGGCGCGAAAAGCGUGGGGAGCAAACAGGG
rnacentral:rRNA from 1 species